rnacentral:rRNA from 1 species
GGCGACGCAGAGCGGAACCCGAAAACCUAGUCUCAGUUCGGAUUGGAGCUGCAACCCGACUCCAUGAAGCUGGAUUCGCUAGUAAUCGCGCAUCAGCCACGGCGCGGUGAAUACGUUCCCGGGCCUUGUACACACCGCCCGUCAAGCCAUGGAAGCCGGGAGUGCCUGAAGUGCGUGAGCGCAAGCAGCGCCCUAAGGUAAAACCGGUGACUGGGGCUAAGUCGUAACAAGGUACC